AUAGUUUUUUUAAACUAAAAUCAAUUGAAUUUUACUAAAUUUUUAGUCUAGAUAGAGUUUAUUAAUUUUGAAAUAUUAGAGGGGUAAAGUUAGAAUUUAAAUACUAAUUAAUGUUAAUUUGGAUGGAAACUUGAUUGUAAGAUUAUUUUUGAAAGUUUUUCAAAUGUGGGGGUGUAUACAUGAUAUUUCAAUUUUUAGAUGACUAUUUAUGAAAUUAAAUGGUUUUAGAAGGGUAUAGAGGAAAUUGUCCCUUUUUUUUGGGUAAACUUCAAAUACCACCUCUGUGGUUUCGUACUUUCUCACUUUAGUAUCCUAUGGAUCAAGUUAGUGUUUUGUUGUUUUAUUUUUAUCUUUUCGUCAGUUUUUUCGUUAAUAUUUUGUUAAAUUAUAUACAAAAAACUUCAGAUACUCUACCUAUGUUUAUCAAAUAUUCACUUUAGUACCAUUUAGUUUUAACUUUGCCACUGAUUUAACGAAAAUAAUUAGUGAAAUCGAUAAUAAAAAGAUAAAAAUGAAACCACAGGACACUAAAUUGAUAUACUUUAAAUUAUGUAG
rnacentral:lncRNA from 1 species